rnacentral:rRNA from 1 species
AAUGGGCGCAAGCCUGAUCCAGCCAUGCCGCGUGAAUGAAGAAGGCCUUAGGGUUGUAAACCUCUUUUAUCAAGGAAGAAGAUCUGACGGUACUUGAUGAAUAAGCCACGGCUAAUUCCGUGCCAGCAGCCGCGGUAAUACGGGAGUGGCAAGCGUUAUCCGGAAUUAUUGGGCGUAAAGCGUCCGCAGGCGGCCUGACAAGUCUGCUGUUAAAGCGUGGAGCUUAACUCCAUUUCAGCAGUGGAAACUGUCAGGCUUGAGUGUGGUAGGGGCAGAGGGAAUUCCCGGUGUAGCGGUGAAAUGCGUAGAUAUCGGGAAGAACACCAGUGGCGAAAGCGCUCUGCUGGGCCAUCACUGACGCCCAUGGACGAAAGCCAGGGGAGCGAAAGGGAUU